AAUUACGGCACAGAGUGAGAGACAAUGGCGAACCCAAUUCGGUAUUUUGUGCUCAACACAGGCGCCAAGAUACCUUCGGUCGGCUUAGGAACCUCAUCUCACCCUCGACAUCUUCACCACUGCCAUUAAGGUUGGGUAUCGUCAUAAUGAUUGUGCCCAAAUUUAUGGCAACGAGAAGGAGAUUGGUGAUGCUUUGAAGAAGCUGUUUGAUGAUGGGUUGGUGAAGCGCGAUGAUUUAUGGAUCACUUCCAAACUCUGGUGUACUGAUCAUGAACCAGAAGAUGUGCCAAAAGCAUUUAAUAAACCUUUGCAAGACUUGCAACUUGACUAUCUGGAUCUUUAUCUUAUCCACUGGCCGGUCAGCAUAAAAAAUGGAAAGCUUACUCAACCUAAUAUACCUGCUACUUGGAAAGCAAUGGAGGCACUCUAUGAUUCAGGCAAGGCCAGGGCUAUUGGAGUCAGCAAUUUCUCUUCAAAGAAGCUCGGCGAUCUGUUAGAGGUGGCACGGAUACCUCCUGCUGUUAAUCAAGUGGAGUUGCACCCUCAAUGGCAGCAACUGAAGCUACAUGCUUUCUGUCAAUCUAAAGGAGUUCACUUAACUGCAUAUUCACCAUUGGGAAAGAAGAAGGUCCUUGAGCAUGCAAUUGUGAAAAUGGUGGCAGAAGAAUUGGGCAAGACUCCUGCUCAAGUGGUUCUUCGAUGGGGCUUGCAAAUGGGUCACAGUCUAGUGCCUAAAAGCUCAAACCGGACAAGGAUUGAGGAUAAUUUUGAUCUUUUUGAUUGGUCUAUACCCGAACACAUGCUUGCCAAGUUUUCUGAAAUUAACCAGGAGAAGUUUGUUCAAGGUACUGGUUUUGUACAUGAGACUCUCGGUGCAUAUAAGACCCUUGAAGAACUCUGGGAUGAAAAGUUGUGAGCUCAAGCUGAUGUCAGAAACAAUUUGCCUCCAAAACUCUUGACUCUCAAGUGCAUGCUCGAGUACAUUAUACAGAGACUACUGGUGUUAAUGGUUGAUACCUAAUUCAUAAAACUACUUAUCUGUAACCUCUGAAAUCGGCA